AUUGAACGCUGGCGGCAGGCUUAACACAUGCAAGUCGAGCGGGGGAAGGUAGCUUGCUACCGGACCUAGCGGCGGACGGGUGAGUAAUGCUUAGGAAUCUGCCUAUUAGUGGGGGACAACAUCUCGAAAGGGAUGCUAAUACCGCAUACGUCCUACGGGAGAAAGCAGGGGAUCUUCGGACCUUGCGCUAAUAGAUGAGCCUAAGUCGGAUUAGCUAGUUGGUGGGGUAAAGGCCUACCAAGGCGACGAUCUGUAGCGGGUCUGAGAGGAUGAUCCGCCACACUGGGACUGAGACACGGCCCAGACUCCUACGGGAGGCAGCAGUGGGGAAUAUUGGACAAUGGGGGGAACCCUGGUCCAGCCAUGCCGCGUGUGUGAAGAAGGCCUUAUGGCUGUAAAGCACUUUAAGCGAGGAGGAGGCUACUCUAGUUAAUACCUAGGGAUAGUGGACGUUACUCGCAGAAUAAGCACCGGCUAACUCUGUGCCAGCCGCCGCCGUAA
rnacentral:rRNA from 1 species